CGCGUAGGCGGCCUUCUAAGUCGAACGUGAAAUCCCUGGGCUCAACCCAGGAACUGCGUCCGAUACUGGCAGGCUUGAAUCCGGGAGAGGGAUGCGGAAUUCCAGGUGUAGCGGUGAAAUGCGUAGAUAUCUGGAGGAACACCGGUGGCGAAGGCGGCAUCCUGGACCGGUAUUGGCGCUGAGGCGCGAAAGCCAGGGGAGCAAACG
rnacentral:rRNA from 1 species